GGUCGCUUAGCUCAGUUGGUUAGAGCGCUGCAUUGACAUUGCAGAGGUCACAGGUUCGAGUCCUGUAGUGACCA
rnacentral:tRNA from 4 species